UACGAAGGGGGCUAGCGUUGCUCGGAAUCACUGGGCGUAAAGCGCACGUAGGCGGAUCUUUAAGUCAGGGUUGAAAUCCUGGAGCUCAACUCCAGAACUGCCUUUGAUACUGGGGAUCUCGAGUCCGGAAGAGGUGAGUGGAACUCCGAGUGUAGAGGUGAAAUUCGUAGAUAUUCGGAAGAACACCAGUGGCGAAGGCGGCUCACUGGUCCGGUACUGACGCUGAGGUGCGAAAGCGUGGGGAGCAAACAGG
rnacentral:rRNA from 1 species